AUAAGGUUGGGAAACUCCUUAAUCUUUGGAUCAAUGAAAUGACCAAUACAAAAGGAGCAGUUGUUGACGGUGUGGCAAUUAGGGCUAAAGCUUUGUCUCUGUAUGAGCACGUAGCCAGGAGUAAAGGUUUUAAUAAGACUAUUAAUUCCAUUAUUCUGUGUUUCAAUAUCCUUUCAUUAUGAAAUAAUGUUAUCAAAUCUUGGUCCCAGGUCCCUAUCCCCCUGUUUUCCAUUGACUUAAUGCCUCGAGUUACACGGUUUCAACUUACAUGGAGUGUUUCAAGAACGUAUCUCCCAUGUAACUCGGGGUCUUACUGUAUUUUUUUUCAGUAGAAAAGUGGUGUGUCCGAUAUUUUUCUUUAAUUUAUUGUAUUUUUUUUCUUUUAGGACCAAGCAAAAGAAGCAACUGAAGAUCCAGCAAAUAGUGGAAUACCACAGCUUGUGAAACCUAGAGGAGUUGUAGAUCUGAGCAAGUUGUUUGAAAUCGGUGAAAAGCCAAAUAAAACAGAGGACACUGAAGAAACUUCAGUCUUAAGAGAGGAAGGAGAGAAGAAGGCUAUAGUAGCAGAGGAAGAAUUAUCAUUUGGGAAAGCCACUGUAAAUUCCUCAGAAGCACCUGCCUUGCAAGGAGAUGAUUCUGAUGUAACAAAAGAUGUCAGUGAAGAAACAAAGCCUCUGGUUUCUUAGAUCGAAUCAUUGAAGUUUGCAUCCCAUAAUGGAGAAGAGCCAUCUGUGAAAGCAGUAGAAGACAAAAGAAUAAACAUCUGGAACAAUCAAAAUCCUCAUUUUCACUCAAAUAUUGGGAUAAUGAACUUGAAAUGUCAGGGAUUCUAUGACUUGUUAUGAAUUUACUAAGUUUUAUAGGUGUCUCUCUCCAGGAAUUUUGGCAAAAAAUGCAGAAAACGUAUGUCACAUAGGGCAGGGAAAAUUUAUUUUGAUUAUUACAAUAAUGGAUGGUGGUUUCAGAUGAGAUUGUGGAAUCCCAUUGUGCUAAGCACUUUAUAAACACAGUGACAGUUUCUGUCCAAAAAGAGGCCACAGCUUAUGAGCAUCAUCCUGAAGACACUUAGGACAUGUAUAGAGAAGCAUUUGUAACACAAAAAAUUUGUAAUACUACAUUACUUUGCAAUGCUCACACCUGCGUCCUCUCUCCUUUCUCUUAUACCUUAUUCUUCAGUGGAGUUCAUAUACCUCCUGAGAUAGCAGUGUAGGAUGGCAUUAGCAUCUUCAUAGAUGGUGAUAUUAAAGACUUCAUGGUCAUGGAGAACCAAAUAAAGGUCAGCCUAGCCAAUCCAGAAGAUAGCACAUCCCUGAGAGAUUCUUUUUAGGUUGGUCCAUUUUCCCUUUGGGUAUUAUACCUGGCCACAUCUGAUUGUCACUAUGUUACUGUAGCACAAAUCUGGGAUUUUUGGAACAAAGAGAUGUGACAGUAGAUUCCAUACUAAUUGUUUCCUAUAACAUAUACUCUGAUCUAAUGCAUCAACCGCAUGGUAUAGAACUGUAUUGUUCAGGAUCACUAUGGGCACAAUAAUCUAAAAACACAGAAGAGUAAAAACCAUAGACAAAGGGUCUACCUAUUGAUUAACACUAAGUGUGUGUCUACAUGAGUAUGGAUGUUUGGUUCCCUGGGGACAACUAGCAGUG